GUGAAUAUAGUUUAACAAAAAUCCUAGAUUGUGAUUCUAGAGAUGAAGGUUAAUAUCCUUCUAUUCACC
rnacentral:tRNA from 1 species